rnacentral:rRNA from 1 species
GGAGAUAACUCGAAGAAGAGGGGUUGCCCAGGUCCCCUCCGCCACCAGAACGGAGGCCUUUCUCAUCUAAGAAGCACUCCAGGUGGUCACUUGGAAGAACGGGGAGUGUCUCCA